GGUUAAGCGACUAAGCGUACACGGUGGAUGCCCUGGCAGUCAGAGGCGAUGAAGGACGUGCUAAUCUGCGAUAAGCGUCGGUAAGGUGAUAUGAACCGUUAUAACCGGCGAUUUCCGAAUGGGGAAACCCAGUGUGAUUCGUCACACUAUCAUUAACUGAAUCCAUAGGUUAAUGAGGCGAACCGGGGGAACUG
rnacentral:rRNA from 1 species